CACAGGCCUGACUCUGAGCAGAGUGCCAUUGCAGCCGAUCAGAUAGCUGCACCCAAGAUGGCGCUGGUUUCCGGUGUGCGUCUGUGGUAAACAACCUCACUGUGCAUGCAUCAGUCUGAGCCUGGCGCCAACCCCUCCCGAGUGGGUGCAUGCAAAUGAAGUGAUACCAGAGUGACCUAUCCCAGAGAGCCACGAGACCUUGCUCCUCCAGCGCUGGUAUAUAAGCAACCUCCCCUGGGUGCUCGGGUUCCCCGUUGCAGCAGCAAUUGGCGUUCCUGUGAAUAAAGGCUGUUGAGAAGAAUCCUGCAGUGUCGUGUCAUCCUUGCUGGCUGCGGUGCGCGCGACAACUGGUGGCCUGGAACGGGGACCCAAGAUCAACAAUCUUGAGGAUUCAGAACUCUUCAGUUAAGGAGCGGUGGUACCGCAUACAAAAUCCCACAUGAGCUGAGCUGAAGUUCCUUCAGUCAAUUGCUUCACAUUUAGCCAAGGUAAGCAUAUUUCCAGCAGCUUGCAGGCUACCCUGUGUUAAAUAUCCUUUAAAGCUGUACC